AUUGAACGCUGGCGGCAUGCUUUACACAUGCAAGUCGAACGGCAGCGCGGGGCAACCUGGCGGCGAGUGGCGAACGGGUGAGUAAUAUAUCGGAACGUACCCAGAAGUGGGGGAUAACGUAGCGAAAGUUACGCUAAUACCGCAUACGAUCUACGGAUGAAAGUAGGGGACCGCAAGGCCUUAUGCUUUUGGAGCGGCCGAUAUCUGAUUAGCUAGUUGGUGAGGUAAAGGCUCACCAAGGCGACGAUCAGUAGCUGGUCUGAGAGGACGACCAGCCACACUGGAACUGAGACACGGUCCAGACUCCUACGGGAGGCAGCAGUGGGGAAUUUUGGACAAUGGGCGCAAGCCUGAUCCAGCAAUGCCGCGUGAGUGAAGAAGGCCUUCGGGUUGUAAAGCUCUUUUGUCAGGGAAGAAACGGUAGAGGCUAUUAUCCUUUGCUAAUGACGGUACCUGAAGAAUAAGCACCGGCUAACUACGUG
rnacentral:rRNA from 1 species